CCUGCCCUGCCCCGCCCCCCCGGGACGCUGCCCACCUGUCCUUUGUGCAGGGCGGUACCAUUCGAUCUUGCCAGCUCUCCUUCAGGGAGCGCCCGCUAUGUGCCAGGCGCCGUGCCAAGCCUGAUCUCCCGUAGUCCUCACAGACCCUCCGCGGUCAGUGCCUCUGCUGCUCCCCGCCCAAGGCGCAGCGGGGUGUGGCCAUUUGCCCAGGGUCACGCAGACUUGAACCCCCCAUCCCCGUGCCCAUUUAACAACCAAGAUACUGCGCCUCCCACCGCGUCCACAUCCACAUCUGCUGUGGCUCCGGGGCCUCCUAACCGUCCUGGGAGACAAAACAGUCACACUGGUGGCUGGCGUCGCGGUGCACCUACUGUGUGCCAAGCACUCACGGCCUCGUUUCACUUUCGCAACAGCAACGAGAGAUCUGUUGUCCCAGGGUGAGGAAGCAAAGGCACAGAAGAGCUGAAGCGAUUUGCCCACAGUCACAAGGGCACUGGACUUUAAGGGCCAAGAGUGAAGACCAUUUUGUCCUGUUCUCUGGCACACAGUAGGCACUCGACAACUAUUUCAAAACUAAAGGAAUAAGCAAGUGGCCUCAUGGCUACUGAGGACAGAGUCUGGAACUGAAUGCAGGGCACUCUGAAGCUGGAGCUCACUUCUACAUUAUUGCCUUUCUCAUGCUACUAGCAGGCACUGAAUGUGUCAGUGAGUGAAUGAAUGAAACCAAGAUCUCAGGAUCCCAGUCAAGUGCUCCCUGAGUUUCAUUUCCUGGUAGUGUGGACAUGAGCCAAGCUCCAGCCACCUUGGAUGGUGGUGGGGGUGGCGGGGCUGAUGGGCCGCCUGAAGCCGGCUGUCAGGAGCUCGUCUGGCCACAGCCGCCAGCAGGAGAGACCAGCUGGCGGUGCAGGGUCCAUCGGCCCGGGCCUGGAAUCUGAGCUGCCCUCAGAGGCCCAGCUUCUCUCUGGGCCCCCACAAACUGGCCUUUGUUCCUGGGCCGGCCAAGACCCAGCAGCUUGGGCUUUCUGUCUGCCCGCGGCACCCGCGCUGAGCUGGCGGGGUAAAUGGGCCAGCCUCCCCUCUGUCCAUGCCCAGGACGUCGCUUUAGGACUAAAUGGAGAUGUAAUUUUCUAUACAAAUCCAUGACAAUUUAGAUGGAGUGAUUGUAAUUGGCUUUUCAAUGGGGGUUUUGUCCAGAGCUGGUGGCUAGAACUGGGUGGCCUGUUUGAGGCAGGCUCCAUUUAAAUGACAAUAAAGCAAUAAUAUUGAGGA